rnacentral:tRNA from 1 species
GGUUGUGGCUCAGUGGUAGAGCACUAGCCUACAACAUGUGAGGCCCUGAGUUCGAUCCUUAGCACCA